GACCGCCGUUGCGGUUAUAGGGUUCAGUUAUCUAAAGCCCCGAUUUAUCGGGGUUUUUUGUUAUUCUGACUACAGAAUAACUGGGCUUUAGGCCCUUUUUUU
rfam:Salmonella enterica subsp. enterica serovar Newport str. S09097 S_Newport_S09097_mira454_rep_c1953, whole genome shotgun sequence.